UACGGAAGGUGCAAGCGUUACUCGGAAUCACUGGGCGUAAAGCGCACGUAGGCGGACUUACAGGUCAAUUGUGAAAUACCUGGGCUCAACCCAGGAACUGCAGUUGAAACCGUUUGUCUUGAAUACCUGAGAGGGUGGGGGAAUACCUGGUGGAGAAGUGAAAUUCGUAGAGAUCAGGUGGAACACCGGAGGCGAAGGCGCCUGCCUGGCAGUGUAUUGACGCUGAGGUGCGAAAGUGCGGGGAGCAAACAGG
rnacentral:rRNA from 1 species